ACUCAAAUGAAUUGACGGGGGCCCGCACAAGCGGUGGAGCAUGUGGUUCAAUUCGACGCAACGCGAAGAACCUUACCUGGGCUCGAAAUGCUAUGGACAGUCUGUGAAAGCAGAUCUUCUCGCAAGAGACCGUAGUAUAGGUGCUGCAUGGCUGUCGUCAGCUCGUGUCGUGAGAUGUUGGGUUAAGUCCCGCAACGAGCGCAACCCUUGUCCUGUGUUGCCACUCCCGUAAGGGAAGCACUCUCAGGAGACCGCCAGCGAUAAGUUGGAGGAAGGUGGGGAUGAUGUCAAGUCAUCAUGGCCUUUAUGUCCAGGGCUACACACGUGCUACAAUGGACGGUACAAAGCGCUGCAAACCCGCGAGGGGGAGCCAAUCGCAAAAAACCGUUCUCAGUUCGGAUCGCAGGCUGCAACUCGCCUGCGUGAAGCUGGAAUCGCUAGUAAUGGCGUAUCAGAACGAUGCCGUGAAUACGUUCCCGGGCCUUGUACACACCGCCCGU
rnacentral:rRNA from 1 species